CUGUACAAGGCAGAGUGUAAGCACGAUGAGCAGGAACCAGAGUGAGGGGAGUUCCAGUUAGAAAUGGGCUUAGAGUUGGAGGAGGAUGAGGAGGCACAGGAUGAGGAGGCCGUUUUUCUGGACCUGGAGUUUCCACAUGAUGGCAUUGAUCAACCUACUAACGAUGUCACCUCCUCUGAGGAGGAACAGGCCGAGCUUGAUUGGCAUUCAGGCAUUCUAGCGUUCACCACCUCGAUCCUGGAUGUGCGUACACUAAGAUUGGGAAUUGAUGUGAAGCACCGCGAUCUGCUACAGGUUUUCAUGUACGUGGAUCACUGCCAGCUUAGGGAAGCAAGCAAGACCUCCAACAUAUCUUCAUGUAUGUACCAGUUUCUAGUUUCGUGUUUUGAAAUCAAUUUCUGUUUGUUUUGUGUAUGCCAUGGACAUGAGGGAAUGGCGAUAUGCCAUUUCUGAGAUCGAUGGAUAUGUGCAGGUCAAGGGAAACCAGCUGGUUGAAGCUUCUCUGCAUUAGUUCCCUGACUCACCCACAGAGCCGAUCUCGGAAGAGUUCACACGCGCCUUCACCACGCAGGAGGUUCGGGAUAAGUUUGCAGCCUGGAGAGCAUCCUUGUUAUCGGAGGACAUUACGAUUCCGGAUGGGUCGCACCCUGUUGGCCGGUUGCUCCAAGCCAUCUCAGUGGGAGAGCUCAAGUUGUACUCGGGUAUCCUGAUUGGCCAGUGAGUGCGGCGCUGGACUCGAAGGAAAGUUUGGUAGUUCGCACCUGAUGGUGGGCAUGCUAGCCCCAUGGAUUAACGUGAGGUUUUCUCGUGGAGGUGUAAGCGAGCGUGUCAACUUAGACUUCUAACUACAACCUGCAAUAUUUUUGUCUCUGUGUU